rnacentral:lncRNA from 1 species
AGUGAUGACGCAACCUUGCAGGGGCUUCCUUGACGCUCCUGGGAACAGGAACACGUGGCUCCUUGAGAGCAGAACUUUCCUGCUUUGCUCCCUUCUGGAUUCGCAACACUAACAUCAUACUUGACAACUGGUAGGCACUCAGGAAGUGUUUCCAUAAGACCUGGAAGACAAGACAUAAUGUGGGGACACAAAGGCAGAUGAAGACUUAUUGCUCAUUCUUCUUUUUUCCACUUCCUGAAAUAGACAGUCCUUCCCUCCUGAUCCAAACCCGAUUCAUUGUGUCAUAUCUAACUAAAAUGGCACCUUUCCUAAGAGUGCUUGUUCUUUGUGACUCCAGGACGUUCUAUCAGCCAUUGUUGUGGAUACCCUUCCCCACACAUUUUAGAGCUCCAAGUACAGCACAGUGAUGGCAUUUCAUGCUCCUUGGAACCUGUGAGGUGGGUGCCACAUCGUCUUCACUUUUUGGAUGUGAAAGCUGAAGCUCAGAGGUCCUGUCACCAGUCUAUGUGUCAAGGUCAUACACAUCAGUUAGUGAACAGCCAGGGUCUGCAGCCUCACUGUCCAGCUUCGGGGGGCUCCACGCGGAAACUCCCUGCAGUUCUCUGUUCUCCGCGGUAACCUCACUCGUGGAUUCCUUUAAGGCCUAUUCUUUUAUCUUCAACUAAACCAUGAAUCCCUUGAUGACAGCUUUUGUCUUGUACUUUUUUUUACAUCUGGAUAGCCACUUCACAAAAGAAUACCUGCAGGAGUCUAUCAUACGUGCACUGAUUGAGAUGGAUCAUGUGAGGAUAUGUAAAACCAGAGACUCAAAAAAUAGCAAACUGAACAUUUAGAUAAGGAAUCAAGGUGAAGAUGGAUAAACAUGCAAGUUUGAAAGAAAGCAGGAACAAGGCAAUCCAACUUGUAUUUUCUGUAAGCUGGCGGCAGAACAUUUAACUGCCAGCUCCUGACAAGGUUUGGAAAACUCAUCAGUGGGAAAGCAGCCAAAACACUGCUCAAGCAUGGGUGGUCACCAGCAGCAAAGGAGGGAAAGCAAGCCAGAAAGAAAGAAGGAAAGAGAGAGUUUUUAUAUAAGUGCUUUCCCAUGAUGUUCUAGCUAUG